rnacentral:tRNA from 1 species
GCUCCCGUGGUGUAGUCCGGAUUAAGGAAGUCCACAUAUGUGGUUGUUCUUUAAGGAUAACCAAUCAUUUCGGAUUUUCGAUCCGAAGACCUGGGUUCAAAGUGGUGAAAGAAAAAAUCUUAACCAUGGGCGUCCCGGCGGGAGCA